GACUUUUCCUAGUCCCUGAGACCCUAACUUGUGAGGUUUUUAGUAACAAUCACAAGUCAGGCUCUUGGGACCUAGGCGGAGGGGAACC
rnacentral:miRNA from 1 species